rnacentral:tRNA from 2 species
AGGUCCGUAGCUCAAUUGGUAGAGCACUGGUCUCCAAAAUCAGUUGUUGGGGGUUCGAGACCCUCCGGGCCUGCCA